UAUAAGAAUCUAAAUUAAGGAAUAAAUAUACGUGUUGCUAUGUGGUGUGUCUGCAUUGGUGGAUCUUAAUUUAACCCGAUCCAUAUAAAAUAUGGAUUGAGAUUUAUCUUAAUAACAGAAUUACCGUGUUUGGUUCAUCCGGCAUGUAAUCGGGUAGUUAAUAUAGCAUUACAAAUAGUAUAGGAUUACACCAAAAAUAUUAACGAGAUGGGAAUGUGUAUCUUGCAUUACUGAAACACAGUAAUACUUCAUAUUGUGUAAAAUAAUAAUUUUACCCUCUAACUCCCGAAACCUUUUCAAUACGUCAUUUUAAAAAAUUUAAUUUAAAAUUUUGAAUUGACAACUUUUAAAUUUUAAAAUUUGAAUUUUAAUUUUGAAUUUUGAAUUUUGAAUUUUGAAUUUUGAAUUUUGAAUUUUGAAUUUUUUAAANACAUCUGAGAAUGCAAGAAAAAACGAAGGAUGAAAGCAUAUAGGGAAAGGGAAAAAAAAAAUUACAUAGAAUCUUUAAAAAAAGGGCCUCAUUAGAGAGUUCUAUGGGAAAUCAAUGCUUUUAAGAAAGAUGAAAAGUUCCAUAGUAAAUUAGCAUGUAAAAAAAAUCAUGAAAUCAAGCGAAGUAAAAAAAAUAUGUGUUAGACUUAGAAAAAUCAUGUAAAAAAUCAUGUAAAAAAAUCAUGUAGGAGACUUAGAAGCAUGUAAAUCAACAUUUAACUGGACCUUUUUUUAACCUGUAUGAUGCAUGUAAAAAAUCAGCAUUUAACUGUAUUUUAAAAAAUCAGCAAUUUAACUGGACUUUUUUUUAUAGAGGCCCCCCCCUCUAAAAAAUGCUUAUUUUAAUUGGACCUUUGCUGAUUGUGAAAAAAGACUGAUUUUUACAACAUUUUAACUGUACUGUAAAAACAGCAUUUUUUAGCAAUGCUGAUCUAUUUCGGCAUUCUAAAAAAUGCUAAUUGCAAAAAUGCUAAUUGCAAAAAAUGCUUUAUAUCAGAUCAGCAAUGCUGAUUGUAAAAAAAAUGCUGAUUUAGCAUUGCUGAUCUAAAUCAGCAAAGCUGAUCAAGCAUUGCUAAUCUAAAAAAAAUGCUGAUUUAGAUAAAAGUUCUGAUUUAGCAUUGCCGAUCUAAAUCAGCAUUCUAAAAAAUGCUAAUUGUAAAGAAAAAAAUCAGCAUUUUAACAAAGGCUGAUUUUGUUAAAUGAUGAUUUUAACUGGACCUUUUUUUAGAGAGGGCCUAAAAUAUGUUGAUUUAAAAAAUACUGAUUUUGACUGUUCAGGUAAAAAAAGGUCCAGUUAAAAAUCAGCAUGAACAAACCAGCAUUUAACUGGACCUUUUUUUUACCUGUAUUCUAAGUCUCACACAUGUAAAUCAGCCAUAUGCAAGAAAAUAAAACCUGGAAUUAAAACCUGCACCUUUUGGAGCCGCGAAUAAUCAAAAAUUGCGCUAAAAACCANAAAUUUAAAAGUUGACAAUUCAAAAUUUUAAAUUAAAUUUUUUAAAAUAACGUAUUGAAAGGGUUUCGUAAGUUAGACGGGUAAAAUUAUCAUUUUACAUAAUAUGCAGUAUUACUGGUUUUCAGUAAUGCAAGAUACACACCCCCUUUCGUUAAUAUUUUUUGUGUAAUUCUGCACCAUGUGUAAUGUUGUAUUAACGACCCGAUUACAUACCGGAUGAGCCAAACACGGUAAUCCUGACAGGAUUGCCUGUAAUCCUGCCAGGAUAACCUGAACCAAACGCACCCUAAAGUCCAUUUAGCGGGCAUGAAAUAAACGGUCAAAAUUGAACGAACUCCUAAAAAUAGAUAACCGAAUCCUUCAAUUUAAGAUCGAAGUUAUUGAUCUUUACUUAGGUAAUGAAUAUACUUUUUUAUUAAAAAUUCAAGCAAUUUCAAUUCUUUUACAUUAUUAAAUUAGCAAUUAUCCUAUACCGGCCGUUAAAAAUUGUCAAUUUUAAGAUAUUUUGAUUAUAACAUAAAUGAUGUUGAAAAAUUAUAAAAUUUAAUUUCUAGAAGUUUUAAAUUCUCUAAAUCAUACUUAAUGGUAUGAAUCGUCGAUUCAGAAUCUCUGUCAUCGAUGCUAAAGAUAAGAUCAAAUUGUUAGUUAGUUUUUUAGUUAGAUUUGUUAUGAGGGAUUUUGUUAAUCAGUUUAGAUUUUUUACUUUAAGUUGUUAAUCAAUUUAGAUUUUUUUUGUUAUCCAUAUGCACUACAAAAGGCUAAAACUAUGUAAAACAAGUGCACCGCGAAUCUACUGAUUAUUCUCCACAUUAAUAAAAUUAUUCACUUCAUUUUAUUGUUUUAUUGAUUACCGCCAUAACAAGU
rnacentral:lncRNA from 1 species